AACUAUAACGGUCCUAAGGUAGCGAAAUUCCUUGUCGGGUAAGUUCCGACCCGCACGAAAGGCGUAAUGAUUUGGGCACUGUCUCAACAAUGCACCCGGUGAAAUUGAAAUACCAGUGAAGAUGCUGGUUACCUGCGCCAGGACGGAAAGACCCCAUGGAGCUUUACUCUAGCUUGAUACUGGGAUUCGAUAUUGCAUGUACAGGAUAGGUGGGAGACUAGGAAGUGGUGACGCCAGUUGCCAUGGAGUCAAUGUUGGGAUACCACCCUUGCAGUAUUGGGUUUCUAACCAGCAGCCGUGAUCCGGCUGGGGGACAAUGUCAGGUGGGGAGUUUGACUGGGGCGGUCGCCUCCGAAAGGGUAUCGGAGGCGCUCAAAGGUUCCCUCAGAAUGGUUGGAAACCAUUCGAAGAGUGCAAAGGCAGAAGGGAGCUUGACUGCGACACCGACGGGUGGAGCAGGUACGAAAGUAGGACUUAGUGAUCCGGUGGUAUAAAGUGGGAUUGCCAUCGCUCAACGGAUAAAAGCUACCCUGGGGAUAACAGGCUUAUCACUCCCAAGAGUUCACAUCGACGGAGUGGUUUGGCACCUCGAUGUCGGCUCAUCGCAUCCUGGGGCUGUAGUAGGUCCCAAGGGUUGGGCUGUUCGCCCAUUAAAGCGGUACGCGAGCUGGGUUCAGAACGUCGUGAGACAGUUCGGUCCCUAUCCGGCGCGGGCGGAGGAUAUUUGAGAGGAGCUGUCCUUAGUACGAGAGGACCGGGAUGGACGGACCACUGGUGUAUCUGUUGUCGACCAACGGCAUGGCAGAGUAGCCAAGUCUGGAAGGGAUAAACGCUGAAGGCAUCUAAGCGUGAAGCCCCCCUCAAGAUGAGAUAUCCCAUAACGUCAAGUUAGUAAGACCCCUUGAAGACGACGAGGUAGAUAGGGCAGAGGUGGAAGUGUGGUAACACAUGGAGCUGACUGUUACUAAUAGGUCGAGGGCAUAACCAA
rnacentral:rRNA from 1 species